ensembl:snRNA U6 U6 spliceosomal RNA
GUGCCCGCUUCGGCAGCACAUUCGCUAAAAUCGGAACAAUGCAGAGAAGGUGAGCAUGGCCCUUGCACAAGGAUGACAUGCAAAUUCAGGAAUCGUUCCAUGUUUUU